UCUCCAUCCUUCUUCUG
rnacentral:miRNA from 1 species